rnacentral:rRNA from 1 species
AUCGGUUUGAAGCCGAAGGAAGUUUGAGGCAAUAACAGGUCUGUGAUGCCCUUAGACGUUCUGGGCCGCACGCGCGCUACACUGACGGAGCCAGCGAGUCUAACCUUGGCCGAGAGGUCUUGGGUAAUCUUGUGAAACUCCGUCGUGCUGGGGAUAGAGCCUUGUAAUUGUUGCUCUUGAACGAGGAAUUCCUAGUAAGCGCAAGUCAUCAGCUUGCGUUGAUUACGUCCCUGCCCUUUGUACACACCGCCC